rnacentral:rRNA from 1 species
GACGAACGCUGGCGGCGUGCCUAAUACAUGCAAGUAGAACGCUGAAGAGAGGAGCUUGCUCUUCUUGGAUGAGUUGCGAACGGGUGAGUAACGCGUAGGUAACCUGCCUUGUAGCGGGGGAUAACUAUUGGAAACGAUAGCUAAUACCGCAUAACAAUGGAUGACACAUGUCAUUUAUUUGAAAGGGGCAAUUGCUCCACUACAAGAUGGACCUGCGUUGUAUUAGCUAGUAGGUGAGGUAAUGGCUCACCUAGGCGACGAUACAUAGCCGACCUGAGAGGGUGAUCGGCCACACUGGGACUGAGACACGGCCCAGACUCCUACGGGAGGCAGCAGUAGGGAAUCUUCGGCAAUGGGGGCAACCCUGACCGAGCAACGCCGCGUGAGUGAAGAAGGUUUUCGGAUCGUAAAGCUCUGUUGUAAGCCAAGAACGGGUGUGAGAGUGGAAAGUUCACACUGUGACGGUAGCUUACCAGAAAGGGACGGCUAACUACGUG